rnacentral:misc_RNA from 1 species
UUCAUUUUCAUUCUUGGCACGUUACAUGCACUUUGCGCUUAGAUCUAUUGAUUUUCGCGUUUGUAACGUCAAGGAGUGGCGACGGAAUGAAGAAAGAUUGCUUAUUUUGUGAUUCGUUUUACCUUACGUGGUUUAGUAGUGCGCAAGGAUCCACUUGGACGGGGGCUCGUCGUAACUGCCGUUCGAAAGCUGCCGUGUAAUUUACCGGAAUCGAGUCUUGCGAUGGUCCCGCGCCCUUCUGGCCUUCCAAACGAAUCGAUGCAGGCCUCCAAAUCGACCAACGUCAAGAUUACACAAUCGUGGACGGUAGAGAUUUGUGUCCUGUCGACCUUCGUGCG